UUCAUCUCUAGUGGAGGCACAUGCGUCAACUCGCCCUUGAGAGGCACUUUUCAAAGACUUGAGCCUGCAGGAGAGUGAAACUACCAAGCAACCUGUUGAGAUCCCAGAUGGUUUCUAACCCACAGAAUUUCUCAUCCUCUUUCCAUCCGUCUGUCUCAGGGACUGUGCCUCCCCUACCAUGCUCCUGGCCGCCUUCCCAGGCUCCCAUCUCCGCUGAGGAAGGCAUUCCCUCCUCAUGACCUCAUCAGAAAUGGUCCCUUCCCCAGGGCAGGACUUCCCACCAUAAAUUCUCCAUCAGCAGAGGCCCCUCCGGCCAACUGAGAGCGAGCAGCGAGUUCCAGGCAGUGUUCUGUAGUUCAGCAUGAGUCAACAUGGAGACCCUGCCUCAGUGCAUCAGUCAGCCCUGGAAGCAGUCUGGCUUAGAAUGCAUUUCUUACAUGUUUAGAGAUUGCAGAACAGCCAUCAGUUUUAUCCAGAACACCUGUAAAUAGUUUUUUGAAACAAAUUAUCAGAGCCAAAAAACAAAAUAAUUCUUGCAUCUACUCCUCUUCCUUUUUGAAUUGACAUAUCUAAACAAAAACCAAAAGGAACACGUAAAUCAGGCUUUACUGCGAUGAAGAGAUAGUGUCCUAUCUCAUUUUACUAAGAGGACAUAUGUAAAUGCUGAGUUAUUUCUUCUCUCACGACACAUCUGUGUAUUGUUCAGGGGACCAGCAUUCUGCCAAAAACAAGUUAGGAACACUAGAUAAAUGAGAAGACUUUGAACUAGAGACAGAGAGAUCUGGGAUGUUGAUGUGGCUUUGUUACAAAUGGGUCCAACGGCCUCUGGGAAAGACCAUCUCUCUAAGAGUCUGCGUUCCUCCUUUGUGAAGGGUAAUGAGGUGGGGUGGGAGGUGCCUGGGGGUGGGGGUGGGUGGGAUUAAUUUAGAGUUGUUUUCCGAUGAGGUAGCCACUAGCCACACGUGGCUAUUUAAAUUUAAAUGCAAAAUAAUUAAAAUUAAAUAGAAUUGAAAAUUCAAAUUUUCAGCUGCACCAGCUGCAUUAAAAGUGCUCGAAAACUACGUGCGGCUAAUGGCUACCAUAUUGGACAGCACAGAUGAAACAUUUCCAUCAUUGUAGCAAGUUUUAUUUGCAGUACCUGCCUAGAUUGGAAAUCAUAGUGUAGGAUUCUAUUCUACCUCUCCUCUGCAUAUUGCCCCUGUGACAGACAUUGCUAAUCGAUCACAGCAUUCUUGUCUACUAUACCUUGAUGUGUCUUCACCAUCUUCCUCGGAGAUCCAUUUGUGCUCAAUUGACCUGGAAUAUGCAUGUGAGACAAACCAUGUGCUUCUAGGGACCAGAUCUGAGUUCUUAACCAUUUUUGUGCUGUGACCCCUUUGGCAGUCUGAUGAAACUUAUGAAGUCCCCUCCCAGAAAAAAAAAUGUUUUUAAAUGCAAAAAACACAAUAUGAAUUACCAAAGAAACCAAUUACAGUGAGAUAUAGCUAUCAAAAUGUUAAAAGAAUAAAUGUUUGACAUAAUAAUAGAUAUGCUUUUUUAUUAUUGCACCAAAUAAUAAGAUCUGAUGGCAGGUGAUUUUUUUUUUACUUAUAAUUUUAUAAUUUUAAUGUAAUUUUGAAGUGGUGCUGAAAGCAAAUGAUAUUUUAAGUAUUUUGUCAAAGCUACCAUGGGAUAUAAAAAUAACUUUGAUGUCUUCGAUGAAACAAAGUCACAGAUAUUGCCAACACUAUUGUGUGAUGCUUCCAUUCAUAACUGAAGAAAAUGCUAAAUUUCAGUUAGUAGUUACUAAAAAUAAAGAUGCAUUUUUCCCAUUGUUAAAAUAAAAACUUCAGCU
rnacentral:lncRNA from 10 species